CAGAAACAUCACUCCUUCAGCCUCCAAUAGCAGCAGUUCUGAUACCUGCAUCUGCACAUCUCUACUACUUACUGCAUGCACCAUCGCGUCUGACUACUAGCAGCUACUUUGAGAAAUCUCCCUCAAAUCGCUCACAGCGCGAUCUUUAUCAUCAGGAUCUUCCCAUUUCCCACUGCUUAUACAGGAUUUUCAGAACGUUGACUUGAGAACCGACUGCCAAGUCAGCACAAAACAAAAAAAAUGUUCAUUUGAAACAUUAGGAUUCUUCUCAACGAUGAACAGAUGUCGGAUCCCGUACCAAGAUACCAAG